CGCGUAGGUGGUUUGUUAAGUUGGAUGUGAAAGCCCCGGGCUCAACCUGGGAACUGCAUCCAAAACUGGCAAGCUAGAGUACGGUAGAGGGUGGUGGAAUUUCCUGUGUAGCGGUGAAAUGCGUAGAUAUUCGCAAGAACACCAGUGGCGAAGGCGGCUCACUGGGCCAUUACUGACGCUGAGGCACGAAAGCGUGGGGAGCAAACA
rnacentral:rRNA from 1 species